AGCGUACACGGUGGAUGCCCUGGCAGUCAGAGGCGAUGAAGGACGUGCUAAUCUGCGAAAAGCGUCGGUAAGGUGAUAUGAACCGUUAUAACCGGCGAUGUCCGAAUGGGGAAACCCAGUGCAAUUCGUUGCACUAUCGUUAACUGAAUACAUAGGUUAACGAGGCGAACCGGGGGAACUGAAACAUCUAAGUACCCCGAGGAAAAGAAAUCAACCGAGAUUCCCCCAGUAGCGGCGAGCGAACGGGGAGCAGCCCAGAGUCUGAAUCAGCUUGUGUGUUAGUGGAACGGUCUGGAAAGUCCGACGGUACAGGGUGAUAGUCCCGUACACCAAAAUGCACAGGUUGUGAACUCGAAGAGUAGGGCGGGACACGUGGUAUCCUGUCUGAAUAUGGGGGGACCAUCCUCCAAGGCUAAAUACUCCUGACUGACCGAUAGUGAACCAGUACCGUGAGGGAAAGGCGAAAAGAACCCCGGCGAGGGGAGUGAAAAAGAACCUGAAACCGUGUACGUACAAGCAGUGGGAGCACCUUCGGGUGUGACUGCGUACCUUUUGUAUAAUGGGUCAGCGACUUAUAUUCUGUAGCAAGGUUAACCGUAUAGGGGAGCCGCAGGGAAACCGAGUCUUAACUGGGCGUUAAGUUGCAGGGUAUAGACCCGAAACCCGGUGAUCUAGCCAUGGGCAGGUUGAAGGUUGGGUAACACUAACUGGAGGACCGAACCGACUAAUGUUGAAAAAUUAGCGGAUGACUUGUGGCUGGGGGUGAAAGGCCAAUCAAACCGGGAGAUAGCUGGUUCUCCCCGAAAGCUAUUUAGGUAGCGCCUCGUGAAUUCAUCUUCGGGGGUAGAGCACUGUUUCGGCUAGGGGGUCAUCCCGACUUACCAACCCGAUGCAAACUACGAAUACCGAAGAAUGUUAUCACGGGAGACACACGGCGGGUGCUAACGUCCGUCGUGAAGAGGGAAACAACCCAGACCGCCAGCUAAGGUCCCAAAGUCAUGGUUAAGUGGGAAACGAUGUGGGAAGGCACAGACAGCCAGGAUGUUGGCUUAGAAGCAGCCAUCAUUUAAAGAAAGCGUAAUAGCUCACUGGUCGAGUCGGCCUGCGCGGAAGAUGUAACGGGGCUAAACCAUGCACCGAAGCUGCGGCAGCGACACUAUGUGUUGUUGGGUAGGGGAGCGUUCUGUAAGCCUGCGAAGGUGUGCUGUGAGGCAUGCUGGAGGUAUCAGAAGUGCGAAUGCUGACAUAAGUAACGAUAAAGCGGGUGAAAAGCCCGCUCGCCGGAAGACCAAGGGUUCCUGUCCAACGUUAAUCGGGGCAGGGUGAGUCGACCCCUAAGGCGAGGCCGAAAGGCGUAGUCGAUGGGAAACAGGUUAAUAUUCCUGUACUUGGUGUUACUGCGAAGGGGGGACGGAGAAGGCUAUGUUAGCCGGGCGACGGUUGUCCCGGUUUAAGCAUGUAGGCUGGUUGUCCAGGCAAAUCCGGAUAAUCAAGGCUGAGGUGUGAUGACGAGGCACUACGGUGCUGAAGUAACAAAUGCCCUGCUUCCAGGAAAAGCCUCUAAGCAUCAGGUAACAUCAAAUCGUACCCCAAACCGACACAGGUGGUCAGGUAGAGAAUACCAAGGCGCUUGAGAGAACUCGGGUGAAGGAACUAGGCAAAAUGGUGCCGUAACUUCGGGAGAAGGCACGCUGGUGUGUAGGUGAAGUCCCUGCGGAUGGAGCUGAGACCAGUCGAAGAUACCAGCUGGCUGCAACUGUUUAUUAAAAACACAGCACUGUGCAAACACGAAAGUGGACGUAUACGGUGUGACGCCUGCCCGGUGCCGGAAGGUUAAUUGAUGGGGUUAUCCGUAAGGAGAAGCUCUUGAUCGAAGCCCCGGUAAACGGCGGCCGUAACUAUAACGGUCCUAAGGUAGCGAAAUUCCUUGUCGGGUAAGUUCCGACCUGCACGAAUGGCGUAAUGAUGGCCAGGCUGUCUCCACCCGAGACUCAGUGAAAUUGAACUCGCUGUGAAGAUGCAGUGUACCCGCGGCAAGACGGAAAGACCCCGUGAACCUUUACUAUAGCUUGACACUGAACAUUGAGCCUUGAUGUGUAGGAUAGGUGGGAGGCUUUGAAGCGUGGACGCCAGUCUGCGUGGAGCCAACCUUGAAAUACCACCCUUUAAUGUUUGAUGUUCUAACGUUGGCCCCUUACCGGGGUUGCGGACAGUGUCUGGUGGGUAGUUUGACUGGGGCGGUCUCCUCCCAAAGCGUAACGGAGGAGCACGAAGGUUAGCUAAUCCUGGUCGGACAUCAGGAGGUUAGUGCAAUGGCAUAAGCUAGCUUGACUGCGAGCGUGACGGCGCGAGCAGGUGCGAAAGCAGGUCAUAGUGAUCCGGUGGUUCUGAAUGGAAGGGCCAUCGCUCAACGGAUAAAA
rnacentral:rRNA from 1 species